rnacentral:rRNA from 1 species
CACUAUGGCCGUGCCACCCUGAACACGCCCGAUCUCGUCUGAUCUCUGAAGCUAAGCAGGGUGGGGGCUGGUUAGUACUUGGAUGGGCGACCACCUAGGAAGACCAGGUGCCGUAGGCU